CCAAAUGCUGACUCUGCUCUUCGUGGGGCUGACUUCCCUCCCUUGGGACGUGAGCAGCUCAUGGGUCAGCUCAGUUCCUCACCUCUGUCACAUCCUCUUGGCCUUGGCUCUGCUACCAGCCCCUUUCCUGAGGGACAUUCCAGUGCUUCCUCUCGAAGGAGGAGCAGCCCCUUCAAAAACGAGCUCUGUGCCUGGGCUGUGCCCCCACUGCGCUCCUCCUGCACAGCCCCACGCCAUGCCAACCCCUCGCUGCUGGCCAUGCCCGCCUUGGGCCAGGCUGGCUCAACACGUGGCUGAAAUUCACUCUGAGCUAGGAGCCAGGACAAAGAACCCUUCACUAUCUACAUCUCUCCAAAG